UUAAGAAAAACAGCAGCCGCUGAAAUCUCUUAAGGAGGCUAGUUCUGUGCCAACUACUGUUCUAAAGUCUUUGCAGGUAUUAACUUGUUUAAUCUUCACAACAGCCUACAUGACAGGGACUACUAGAUCCUGAAGUGCAGAGACUGAGGCCCAGAGAGGUUAAGAAAGGCGCCCAAGGUGAUCAGCUAGCAACAAAUAGAGCUGGGAUCAAGUCCAGGGGUCUGAGCCGGUCAGAGCUGGGUCCCUCCUGGUGAAGUCUAAUGGGACCAUGGAGUGGGCUCAUGAGCUGGAGAUUCAUGCAAUAGACAUGCCUGCUGUUCCUUGCUGCCUCAUCAGCAUGUGGUAUUCUUGAUGCCCCACAAGCAGAGUGUUCCAGGGAACCCAUGAUGCAUGGAAGGGUGACUCAAAAAUGGCAUCAAGGCAUCAAAUAGCAAAUAAAAAGUAUCACAACAAGAUGAGAGAGAAAGACUGGAAGAAAGAAGAAAGCUCUAUAUUUUAGUAACUUCAAGGACACUUUUUUCCUGCUUUUUGAAGAAGAGGUCCCACAUUUUCAGUUUGAACAAGGAGCCCCACAAUUGUGAGAACAACCUGACAGAGGGCACAGAGACUGAGGAUACGAGGCCCACUCAGAUCCCAGAGUUAUUAAGAGAGGAAGAAACCGGUGCUUUGAAAGGUUGAACAAGCUGCCCACAUCACUUGACUGGCAAGCAGCACAGCCAAUCACCAUGGACCCACAGCCUCAGCCACCAACUUUUCUCUGUCCUGCCUGCUGGGGUAACACAACUAAUUCUUUUGCCCCAUCUCCUUGGAUGUCAGACUCCUCCUGUAUAUAGGGACUUGAAAAAGCUGUCCUGGAGUUUGGAGCAGAUUCAGCUAAAGGCCAUCACAUUUUGGGAACAGAAUGACGAAAGUCAACAGAACACAGCGAGUCUCUGCAGGAGAACCACCCGAAGGCAUGGCUCUGAGCUGGAGAAAGGGCCAAGCCUGACUAAUGAGUCAAGGUGGCCGGAGCUGACUACCUGUAGAAAGGCAAGGCAAGGCUCACUGAACUCCCGUCCUGGGCUCACCAGAAUUUGAUGCUUACCAAGCGACAAGGAACAGAGGACACAAGUUCAAAGAUGAAAUUAAGAAUUUCAAGACGGUGACAGCAGAAUAGUAAACCAAGCCUGGGUCCCUCCUGAGCCCGGGGCUUCACGUGCAAAGUGCAUGUGUUGUGGACGCCCGGUGGUGAGCCUGAGACAGCAGAAACCGAGGCCGCCAUGCAUCUCGAACGUGCCUCCUCUGCUCCCACGCGUGCUUGACCCAUCUGGACUUCACUUACAAAACGUAAGUUUGAAUAUGCGAUUAUUAAUAACUGCAAGAUGGCAACAGGAGAGUAUGAAACCAAAAGCGUAGCCCUUCUGAGUGGGACCCUGUGCGACUGUACAGGUCACCGAUGGCCAGGUGACAAGAUAUGCCAUGGAGAAACUGCAUGAAGGCCCAACGCGUGCCCAUGUCCUGUGUCUCCCUUUGUCAUUUGUAGGGUGUGGGGAUCCCUGUACCCCACUCUUUCCUGUCCUCCUCCUCUUGCCCCCAUCCACUCUGCCACUGCUCUCCCAUAGCUCCGGGUCCCCCAGAGCUAAAUGCUUGGCUUUGGGGAUGCAGGGCCCCCGCCAAUGGGCCUGGCAGUGGGCCUGCUCUAGGAGCACUGCAGUAGGCAAGGCCACCUGCCUUGUGGCUGCCACCCACCCAGGGCUGCGGAAAGGCCUGGCCGAAAGAGGGCUGGGGGAGCCUGACUGGAGCGGGGGCCUCUCCUGUGACCGACACCAAGGCUGUCCAGAGUGCCUGGGGAGCCCAGCAAGGCCUUGCCACACCCCCUGCAGCCUCCGGUUUGGCCCCUGCCUCUUGCCUUCCAGCCCAAACCCCUCCACCCUGUAGCCAGGGAAGUCUUUCAGAAGCACACAUUGGGUGGUUUGGGUCAUCAGCCUUGGCUGGUGUGACAGGGUCGCAGUGGCCGGCCCCUGUUCACCUCUCCAGUCUCAUCGCCAGAGUCUCUUUCCAACUGUCUGACCCGGGCCAGUCCCUCCGGAGGGAGCGUCGUGGUGUGUGCUACCAGGAUCGGGAGGUCCCAUGGUGGGAUGCUGUAAACAGGGGCUUCAAGGGAGCACAGAACGGCUCAGGUACCAGGCAGCCAGACCCCAACUCUCAGUUCUGCUGAAGCCACGGGAUGCCUGGGUGUUGAAGUAGACCUGGUGCAGAGACACAGAGUGCCAGCAUGUCUGGAGGGGAAGCAGGGAUGGGAGAGAUGUCGGGGACAGAGACUCAUUUCUGGCUGAGCACCUGGCUCAUCUCAUCCUCUGCCUUUUGUCUGAGCUGACCGUAAUUAGUCCUCUUAGUUCCCUGCGGGUGAGCCAGGCUGUGCAGGGGUUCAGAAGACCUGAAGCACAUCUUCUCAUCCUGGUCCAAGCUGGACUAUUUCUGGCAGUUUAAUUGUGGAUGCUGUGUUCCUGGCGUGAGAAGGAAGGCAGGAAGGACCUGGAGGAAGUUGGAGCAGGAGGGAAACUCUGGCGGCGUGACUUUUCCAACCAUGGCCCCUUAGGAACAGGCUGCUCCUGGCAGCUCAGCUAUUCUGCUGCCACCUAUUCUAGCUCGUGGCAGGAAGCUGGCUUAGCUGGGAGGGGAAGCUUCUUGUUAGACUCAAGGGACCAAAGUGCAUUUGCAGAAGAGCCAUUGAGAUCUGUGUAACUGUCAAGUUCUGGGUACCCACUGAGUUCUGUGUAAAGAGGGGGUUAGGCUUGGGGUCCAACAGACCCAGACCAACAGCACCUCUGUCCCUCCCAGGGUGGUGUGACAAUCCUUGGAAAUAACUACACGGCCAGGGCCAACUCGGUACUGGGCACACAACACACGAUCCAUCAAUGGUGGUGGGCACCCCUGUCUCUUCCUUCCUUCCUUAAUAAAGACAUCUCAGGGUGAAAAGGGGAUGGCGCUAGGCAAUACUAGGGUGGAGUGGAGGGUCUUUAGGGUGUACAGCCAGUGUGGAAAUCCACAGACCUGAGGGUGGGCCAGCAGGAAGGAAUUUGGGUGAGGAUGGUCUUUAAAAACCCAACAGAACAGAGUGGUUACUGACGCCCUCUCUUGAUACUUAAGAAGGGAAAAAGAAUCAGCUUCAAAAUCUAAGACAAUGGAUUGUAGUAUCUUUGAUGGAAUUCAAACUCAGCCUGAAUUCUGGGACACAUUAUGAAACAACUAGUGAAGAAAGCUGAGAUCAUGAAGAAGUUCAGUGUGUUUGUUAUUACUUUGUUAUUUAUUUAUUUACAGGGCUGAGCAGAGGGUUGGCAUCUAAUCUAUGCCCCUGAAAGUGAACUGACUGUAGUUCAAAGUGAUACCAUUUUUCUUCUGAUGGUAGGGUUACUAUGGGCAUCCUAGGAAUAUGUCCUGUAUGUAGGCUAUUUUAGCAUCUGGCAGGGCAUCCGAGAGUUCUUGAAAUCUUCAUGAACCGCAGAGUGAAAAUACAAACUGAAUGUUGGCCAGUUAAGGUAGGAUUGGGUUUGGUUGUCUGACCAGCAGUGAAUCUGGUAAACCCAUGCAAUUGUCAAUAUUUGGUUUAAUCUACAAAAAUGGCUAUUUCAUAUGUUCCACCUACUAUUUGUUGGACUAGGGAACCAUCUACUUCCCUUCCCACACAAGGGUUCUGUAUUGCUGUGAAAGUCUGCUUGUUCAUUGGAAUGUGAACUUCAGCCGCCACAGUGCCUAGUGAAACAAGCUCCGAUUCUGGGGUCAGAAGGCCCUAAGUUCAAAUCCUGACCCUGCCGCUCCCAAGAUUCAGGAAGGAGCAUGCAAACUGUGGCGCCUGCCCAUUGGGGGUUCCUGCCCUCCUCUCUGCUGAGGGUCUUUGGUCUGUAACCGGGUCUCCAUUGUACUUGGUGUGAAGGAUUGAGUGGGGUUGAGGCUGGAAUGUGUAGGGUAAGAGCUGGAGGAGCAGGAAGGGGCAGAGCACUGGGUCUAGGAUCCAGGGAGGAGCUAGGGUAGGGUUGGGACAGUGGAUAAGGUCACAUCAUGGAGAGGUGCCAGGCAGGUGCUGUGAGCUGAGCAGUGUUGGAGGCAAAAUGGAGACAUCAGCUGAGGCUGGACACAUAACCCAGGGCACCCACCUGUCUCUUCAAUAUGCUGUAAACCCAGCCAUUCCCCACCUCAGUGGCCUUCAGCUGCAAGUCUUCAUCCUCCAGAUGGAGGGUCUGCAGGCGAACCACAGUGCUGGGCUGGACAACUGUUUCGGCAGCAUGCUGGGCUUGUUCUGGGUCUGGGAUGAAGGGUCAGUGGCCAGCUGGACAUGCUUCCCUCAAGGUGGGAGGUCAGAGCUUCCUAAGGUGUGAGUGAAAUCAGGCCUUGCCAGUUAAGGCCUAAGCUCAGAAUUGGCACCCUAUCACUUCUGCCAAAACCCCACUGACCAGAGCAGGUCACAUGGCCAAGCCCAGUAUAAAUGGCGCAGGGAAGUGCAUGGGCCUGAGCAGGGGGCAGAGGAACGGGAGUGAAUGAUCACUGCAGGAUAAUCCAGGCCACCACUGUGUUCAAGACCCGUGCAGAGUCAGCAGGCACUAGAGCGAGUGUCCAAGCCUGCCGAGAACUUCUCUUUACAAAACCAGGGACACACUGCCGGGUGGCUCUAAGAGUUUCUAGUGAUAAAAAUGGCAGCUCCCAUUCUACCUUUGCUGUGAGCCACUUGCAUUUCAGCCAGGCUUCAAAUGAGCCCCAAGUGGGUUUUACCACUCCACUUUCCAGCUGAAGACACUGAGUUGUAGAGUGGUUGGCAGCUUACGCUGGCCCACAGGUAUUCCACACGAUAUUCCACACAGUAUUCCACAAGGUAUUCAACACAAUAUUCCAUGUGGUAUUCCACACUAUAUUCCACACGUUAUUCCACACAAUAUUCCACAUGGUAUUCCGCACAACAUUCCACAUGGUAUUCCACAUGAUUUUCCAAACAGUAUUCCAGACAAUAUUCCACACGGGAUUCCACACAAUAUUCUACACAGUAUUCCACAUGAUAUUCCACACGGUUUUCCACAAGGUAUUCCACACAAUAUUACACAAGGUAUUCCACAUGGUAUUCAACACAAUAUUCCACAUGGUAUUAUAUACAAUAUUCCACAUGGUAUUCUGCACAUUAUUCCACACAAUAUUCCUCUACACUCUGCAACUACAAUUCCAACUCUGUGUGGAAUAUUCCACAUAUCGUGUGG